rnacentral:lncRNA from 1 species
UUCUCAUUAACUGUUAAAACAUAAAACACAUCUAAAUUAUCGAAACGCUUGUCAAGUCCAUGGGAUGUGUUUGGUUCGAAGUCAGAAUCGGUAUCGAAAUCGAAAUAAGAGUAAGCUGAAAACGAAAUCGGAAUGAUUUAUUAUCUCAUUCUAUUUGGUUCGCCACCUGAAUCGGAAUCAGAAUGAACUAUUUCUAUUGUCGACGUUUUGUUCAGAUAGAUACAAGAAACAUAAUCAAAUUAAUAUGCCAAUUUUAUCUUUAUAAUAUAUUAGCUUAAAUUCAAACUGAAAAUUAAAUAUUAAAAAUUUAUGUCAAAAUUUUAAAAUAAUGUUAAAAUUUUAAAUAUAUUUUUUUAAAAAAUAAAAUUUAAAAUUGAACGGAUAAUUCAAAAUAUAAAACUAAAUUUUGAUUUAUUCAAAUUCAAACUUAAAAUUAUAAUUUCAAUUUCAAUUUGAAUUCAUAAAUUUAAUUUAAAUUUUGAAUAAAUUUUUAGAUUUUAAAUUAUAUUUAAAUUUAAAUUUAAAUUUAUAAAUUACAUUCGAAAUGCUUGAUUGAAUUUUAAUUUUUAAUUUAAGUUCAAAUUAAAAUUAAAAUUUAUAAAUAUAAUUUUUAAACAUAAACUUAUAUUUUAAUUAAAAAAUAAACUUAAAAAAUUAAAUUUGAUCUGAAUAAAUCCAUUCUACCCGAAUUCAAUUUCCAAUCCGGCUUAGGAAGC